rnacentral:rRNA from 1 species
UGACAUCGGAUCAGGUGAGGAUACCCGCUGAAUUUAA